CGGUCAGGUGAAAUACCGCUACCGCACUUCCUGCUUCCUCAGGCGUCCUCAGCGUGGCGGUCACGGACACCUCCAUUGUGCCACCUCCUCCCCUACAGUGGCUCCACCUUGAAACCCUCUGCAGCCAGCGCCGGCCCGACACAUACACGCUGCGGGCUACGGCGUCCACGUAGAGCGCCAGACAGGAUCAGCUCACUGUAUCGAGCGCUGCCACUGGGGAGCUAUGUAAGUGUCCAGGGGAGUGUACGCGGCGGGCUGUCAGCGGGGAGGGAGAGAUAAUUGCCAGCUCGAAGCUGCUGCUCCCGCACUGUCAGCCCUCCUACCUAUCCUGCUGCCGCUACCCCCGGGCAGAGUGACACUGUGCAGGGCUGACAGCCUCCUACCUACCCUGCUGCUGCUCCCAGACAGAGGGAGUGUGAGCACUGAGAUAGCUGCUGGUGCUGCAGUUAUCUAUCUAUAUAAAUCUGGCUGCAUAGGACGGGGCAAAUGUUUUUAAUGCAUAAAUAAAUUAAUAAUUAAUAAGUGACCCCAUACCCACUGUUUAUGCUCCCCAGCGGCAGAGGUCACUGCAGGGAGCUGAUCCGGUCAGGUGCUCCAGAAACUUGUCCAUUCCGGGUUUCACCAAAUCCCUGCCGCUGCUGACAGUGAGUGAAUCACCGUCACUCGCUGUACAGCGCCACUGCCGCCCGCCUUGGAUACAGGCUGCUCUCUCUCCCAUCGCCUCUGGAUUCUAAUGGCAUUCUUUUGACCACAACGAUUUCUGGAGUGUGGGGUGACACUUCUUUGUCCAUUUCCUGAAAUCAGAGGCAGCCAUUAUUGGCGCACGCAUGAAUCAAUAAGCAGACACGGCUGACUUGAUUCAAGUCAUUAGACAGGUAUACAUUCUGGAUCGCGGAGAGGGGGAGUAUCCGUCUUGAGGAAGUCUCCGUUUCGCGUUGACGCCCACUCUCUGUUAUUCGGCUCCCCAUUUGGUGUUACCCGCUAAACCAGCACAGUUCACAGCUUUUCAUAGCUACAACUCAUUGCCGCAUGAUAUCUCUGCUACUUGCCGGGUGAACUCCGCCUGACCUCCGCUGUGAGGUCUAACAUCAGUCAUUAAGAGAAAGGUCUCCGGCGGCCACACUCACCGCCAGUGACCAGCGCUCACUACACUUUCAGAGAGGUGCAUCAUCUUUCAAUAAAGCGGCAUACAUUCAGUGCUACUUAAACAGUUAUAUGACGAUUUAUUUCUACACCACGUGUAUUUCAUCAUCAUAAAGGACCCUGACUGCAUCUUAUUACAGGAACCAGCACGUGGGUAACUAUUACAGGUUGCACCUUUCUACUGUUGCACAAAAUGAGACUGUGAUUAUUCAUGGCGGGAUAUUUAUACGCUAACACACUGGGACGCCAGUGUUCUGACUCUUAUUGCCACCAUCUGAAAGAGCCUAUAUUAAUCAGUUUUAAUUGCAUGUUACAUGUUACUUAUUACCCUACUAACCACAGCUCCUGUGUUAGAAUGAGCAAUUUGCUAUUAACUGCAUGUUGAAUGUGUGUUAUAUAUGUUGUUCUUAACAGAUAUUAUAUAAAUUGAUUUAUUUAUAUUC